AUUGAACGCUGGCGGCAUGCCUUACACAUGCAAGUCGAACGGUAACGCGGGGCAACCUGGCGACGAGUGGCGAGCGGGUGAGUAAUGCAUCGGAACGUGCCCAGUAGUGGGGGAUAGCCCGGCGAAAGCCGGAUUAAUACCGCAUACGACCUAAGGGUGAAAGGGGGGGAUCGCAAGACCUCUCGCUAUUGGAGCGGCCGAUGUCAGAUUAGGUAGUUGGUGGGGUAAAGGCCUACCAAGCCGACGAUCUGUAGCUGGUCUGAGAGGACGACCAGCCACACUGGGACUGAGACACGGCCCAGACUCCUACGGGAGGCAGCAGUGGGGAAUUUUGGACAAUGGGCGAAAGCCUGAUCCAGCCAUUCCGCGUGCAGGAUGAAGGCCCUCGGGUUGUAAACUGCUUUUGUACAGAACGAAAAGGUUUCUACUAAUACUAGGAGCUCAUGACGGUACUGUAAGAAUAAGCACCGGCUAACUACGUGCCAGCCGCCGCAGUAA
rnacentral:rRNA from 1 species